UUUUUUUUUUUAAGUUCCUAGUGCAAAAAGGGGCAGCUAGAUAUUUCACCAUUGGAUGGAUGGGAUAUCCAACACCUGCAUUUAAAAAAAAAAAAAAAAAAGUUCCAGCUUGAGUCACCUUCCUGCGAAGUUGGAUCGCCCUGGAGGUCAGGGGGUUGGCCAGGCCUCUUGCAGUAAUACAGGAAUGGACACUUGUAGGAGAGGCAAGGUCCUUGACCAGGAGAUUAAAGGGGGAGGACUAGGCUUGCUUGUUGAUGAGUUUAGUUUUCUGUGAGAACUGAAAGACAAGCCACCUAUUAGCAUCGUGUUCCCUCCACCUGCAAGAUCUGGAGAAUGAAUGAAAGCAAUCUCAGGAGAGACGAGUCCAGUCGUCAGUGUACGUGUAUAAAGAGUCUCGGCCCUUGAGAAGCUGAAGCAGGUCGUUCAUGAAUUCCAGUCCAGUCUCCUUGGCUUCAUCAGGAAACCAUGUGUCCAAAAAACAGGAGAUAUAAGGGCCUUUCUGGAGAGAUAGUUUAGAGGUUAUGGGAAUCUGUGCUGGAUUUGCAGCACCCUCGCCUGCAAUUCUGGGUCCAGGGGGAUCUGUCGCCCCCUUCUGGCCUCCGGAACGUGUUUGUGGUGGUGCGUGGACAUACAUGCAGGGAAAACACCCAUACACAUAAAGUGAAAAUGUCUUUUUUAAGAGAGGGGGAUGAGCUUGGUGGUCAUGGUGGUGGUGGCAGCGCACGCCUUUAAUUAAAGCGCUUGGGAGUCAGAAGCAGAUGGAGUUUGAAGCCAGCCUGGUCUACGGAGCUAGUUCCAGAACAGCCAGGAAGCCCUGUC
rnacentral:lncRNA from 1 species